rnacentral:rRNA from 1 species
CAGCCGCCACGGGAAUACGAAGGGGGCUAGCGUUGUUCGGAAUUACUGGGCGUAAAGCGCACGUAGGCGGUUAUUUAAGUCAGGGGUGAAAUCCCAGAGCUCAACUCUGGAACUGCCUUUGAUACUGGGUAUCUUGAGUAUGGUAGAGGUGAGUGGAAUUCCGAGUGUAGAGGUGAAAUUCGUAGAUAUUCGCAAGAACACCAGUGGCGAAGGCGGCUCACUGGCCCGAUACUGACGCUGAGGCACGAAAGCGUGGGGAGCAAACAGGAUUAGAUACCCGCGUAGUCCCUGUCUCUUAUAC